GUUCACCCUUUUUACAAAAAAAGGAUCCUCACCAAGAUCAUGCUGCCAUCAAUGCAGCCUCACAAUCGUCAACCCAAGCCGAGUUGAGUCAGGGAGUGGCUAAAGAGCAACCAAGAUCCACCAAACCAGGCCAGAGAACUUGAGAGCCACCGUACUACAUCGGGCGGCAUGGAUUCGGGAGAACAGCAGCAAAACCCUACAGGAGAUAACGCUGGAGUGGCAAAGAACCUGACACCCCAGGAAUGGUAUCACAAGACCUUGAAAUUUCGUUCCCGGAGGUAAACCACUGGCUGUAUGAGUUUUGGCUCCCAGUGAUAAUGGAGGAAGUCCUCUUCACCAAAAAAGAAAAGGGCCAGUGACCUUCUCCCAGACCCUG